rnacentral:rRNA from 1 species
CAGCCGCCGCGGUAAUACGUAGGUCCCGAGCGUUAUCCGGAUUUAUUGGGCGUAAAGCGAGCGCAGGCGGUUAGAUAAGUCUGAAGUUAAAGGCUGUGGCUUAACCAUAGUACGCUUUGGAAACUGUUUAACUUGAGUGCAGAAGGGGAGAGUGGAAUUCCAUGUGUAGCGGUGAAAUGCGUAGAUAUAUGGAGGAACACCGGUGGCGAAAGCGGCCUGCUGGACCAAAACUGACGCUGAGGCUCGAGAGCGUGGGGAGCGAACAGGAUUAGAUACCCCCGUAGUCCCUGUCUCUUAUACA